rnacentral:rRNA from 1 species
CCUACGAGUGGCAGCAGGGGGGAAUAUUGCACAAUGGGGGAAACCCUGAUGCAGCGACGCCGCGUGAGUGAAGAAGUAAUUCGUUAUGGAAAGCUCUAUCAGCAGGGAAGAAAAUGACGGUACCUGAGUAAGAAGCCACGGCUAACUACGUGCAAGCAGCAGAGGUAAUACGUAGGGGGAAAGCGUUAUCCGGAUUUACUGGGUGUAAAGGGAGCGUAGACGGCAGUGCAAGUCUGGAGUGAAAGGCGGGGGCUCAACCCCCGGACUGCUCUGGAAACUGUACGGCUGGAGUGCAGGAGAGGUAAGUGGAAUUCCUAGUGUAGCGGUGAAAUGCGUAGAUAUUAGGAGGAACACCAGUGGCGAAGGCGGCUUACUGGACUGUAACUGACGUUGAGGCUCGAAAGCGUGGGGAGCAAACAGGAUUAGAUACCCCGGUAGUC